rnacentral:rRNA from 1 species
UUAAGCGACUAAGCGUACACGGUGGAUGCCCUGGCAGUCAGAGGCGAUGAAGGACGUGCUAAUCUGCGAUAAGCGUCGGUGAGGUGAUAUGAACCGUUAUAACCGGCGAUUUCCGAAUGGGGAAACCCAGUGUGUUUCGACACACUAUCAUUAACUGAAUCCAUAGGUUAAUGAGGCGAACCGGGGGAACUGAAACAUCUAAGUACCCCGAGGAAAAGAAAUCAACCGAGAUUCCCCCAGUAGCGGCGAGCGAACGGGGAGGAGCCCAGAGCCUGAAUCAGUGUGUGUGUUAGUGGAAGCGUCUGGAAAGGCGCGCGAUACAGGGUGACAGCCCCGUACACAAAAAUGCACAUAUUGUGAGCUCGAUGAGUAGGGCGGGACACGUGGUAUCCUGUCUGAAUAUGGGGGGACCAUCCUCCAAGGCUAAAUACUCCUGACUGACCGAUAGUGAACCAGUACCGUGAGGGAAAGGCGAAAAGAACCCCGGCGAGGGGAGUGAAAAAGAACCUGAAACCGUGUACGUACAAGCAGUGGGAGCCUCUUAAUGGGGUGACUGCGUACCUUUUGUAUAAUGGGUCAGCGACUUAUAUUCUGUAGCAAGGUUAACCGAAUAGGGGAGCCGAAGGGAAACCGAGUCUUAACUGGGCGUUAAGUUGCAGGGUAUAGACCCGAAACCCGGUGAUCUAGCCAUGGGCAGGUUGAAGGUUGGGUAACACUAACUGGAGGACCGAACCGACUAAUGUUGAAAAAUUAGCGGAUGACUUGUGGCUGGGGGUGAAAGGCCAAUCAAACCGGGAGAUAGCUGGUUCUCCCCGAAAGCUAUUUAGGUAGCGCCUCGUGAAUUCAUCUCCGGGGGUAGAGCACUGUUUCGGCAAGGGGGUCAUCCCGACUUACCAACCCGAUGCAAACUGCGAAUACCGGAGAAUGUUAUCACGGGAGACACACGGCGGGUGCUAACGUCCGUCGUGAAGAGGGAAACAACCCAGACCGCCAGCUAAGGUCCCAAAGUCAUGGUUAAGUGGGAAACGAUGUGGGAAGGCCCAGACAGCCAGGAUGUUGGCUUAGAAGCAGCCAUCAUUUAAAGAAAGCGUAAUAGCUCACUGGUCGAGUCGGCCUGCGCGGAAGAUGUAACGGGGCUAAACCAUGCACCGAAGCUGCGGCAGCGACACUAUGUGUUGUUGGGUAGGGGAGCGUUCUGUAAGCCUGUGAAGGUGGCCUGUGAGGGUUGCUGGAGGUAUCAGAAGUGCGAAUGCUGACAUAAGUAACGAUAAAGCGGGUGAAAAGCCCGCUCGCCGGAAGACCAAGGGUUCCUGUCCAACGUUAAUCGGGGCAGGGUGAGUCGACCCCUAAGGCGAGGCCGAAAGGCGUAGUCGAUGGGAAACAGGUUAAUAUUCCUGUACUUGGUGUUACUGCGAAGGGGGGACGGAGAAGGCUAUGUUGGCCGGGCGACGGUUGUCCCGGUUUAAGCGUGUAGGCUGGUUUUCCAGGCAAAUCCGGAAAACCAAGGCUGAGGCGUGAUGACGAAGCACUACGGUGCUGAAGCGACAAAUGCCCUGCUUCCAGGAAAAGCCUCUAAGCAUCAGGUAACAUCAAAUCGUACCCCAAACCGACACAGGUGGUCAGGUAGAGAAUACCAAGGCGCUUGAGAGAACUCGGGUGAAGGAACUAGGCAAAAUGGUGCCGUAACUUCGGGAGAAGGCACGCUGAUAUGUAGGUGAAGCGACUUGCUCGUGGAGCUGAAAUCAGUCGAAGAUACCAGCUGGCUGCAACUGUUUAUUAAAAACACAGCACUGUGCAAACACGAAAGUGGACGUAUACGGUGUGACGCCUGCCCGGUGCCGGAAGGUUAAUUGAUGGGGUUAGCGGUAACUCGAAGCUCUUGAUCGAAGCCCCGGUAAACGGCGGCCGUAACUAUAACGGUCCUAAGGUAGCGAAAUUCCUUGUCGGGUAAGUUCCGACCUGCACGAAUGGCGUAAUGAUGGCCAGGCUGUCUCCACCCGAGACUCAGUGAAAUUGAACUCGCUGUGAAGAUGCAGUGUACCCGCGGCAAGACGGAAAGACCCCGUGAACCUUUACUAUAGCUUGACACUGAACAUUGAGCCUUGAUGUGUAGGAUAGGUGGGAGGCUUUGAAGUGUGGACGCCAGUCUGCAUGGAGCCGACCUUGAAAUACCACCCUUUAAUGUUUGAUGUUCUAACGUUGGCCCGUAAUCCGGGUUGCGGACAGUGUCUGGUGGGUAGUUUGACUGGGGCGGUCUCCUCCUAAAGAGUAACGGAGGAGCACGAAGGUUGGCUAAUCCUGGUCGGACAUCAGGAGGUUAGUGCAAUGGCAUAAGCCAGCUUGACUGCGAGCGUGACGGCGCGAGCAGGUGCGAAAGCAGGUCAUAGUGAUCCGGUGGUUCUGAAUGGAAGGGCCAUCGCUCAACGGAUAAAAGGUACUCCGGGGAUAACAGGCUGAUACCGCCCAAGAGUUCAUAUCGACGGCGGUGUUUGGCACCUCGAUGUCGGCUCAUCACAUCCUGGGGCUGAAGUAGGUCCCAAGGGUAUGGCUGUUCGCCAUUUAAAGUGGUACGCGAGCUGGGUUUAGAACGUCGUGAGACAGUUCGGUCCCUAUCUGCCGUGGGCGCUGGAGAACUGAGGGGGGCUGCUCCUAGUACGAGAGGACCGGAGUGGACGCAUCACUGGUGUUCGGGUUGUCAUGCCAAUGGCACUGCCCGGUAGCUAAAUGCGGAAGAGAUAAGUGCUGAAAGCAUCUAAGCACGAAACUUGCCCCGAGAUGAGUUCUCCCUGAGACUUAGAGUCUCCUGAAGGAACGUUGAAGACGACGACGUUGAUAGGCCGGGUGUGUAAGCGCAGCGAUGCGUUGAGCUAACCGGUACUAAUGAACCGUGAGGCUUAACCUU